UGGAAUUUUGUUCUUGUUUUAUGGAUGCUAUAUUUUGUCUUAAUUCUUGGAGACUAUUAAUUAGGUUUGUUUACUUUUCUUUGUGCUCUUUGUUUUUUCUGUUAUUCUUUUUUCUGCUUGUUUGUUCGGAUCUUCAUCUAACUUGCUGGAGUUUUCCUCAGAUGUUUGGUGAUCCUUUGGUAUCUGCUCAUUUUUUACACUGAGAGACAAAGAAACCUAUUGGAACCUUUGUGUGGGGAGGGGGGGUUUAUCAGUUGGUGAGAAUUCAUGUACGGUUAUUAUUUGGUGAAUCAGCCUUACUGAGAGACCCCUUCCAGUUCUGCAGAUGUUGAUGUUUGGAAGUUUCCUCUGGGUCCAUUAAGUUACUUAGGACAAUUUGCCAGGCCUUGGGUGUGGGUGGUGGUGGGAACACCCAGUUGUCAGCUUUCGGAGACCCCCACUACUCAGCUUGCACACCUCACAUAGGACCCUGUUUCCAGCCCUGCAUCACCCCUGCCUCUGUCUGUGAUGCUCCCAGCCCCUGAAGGGUAUGCAGAGCCAAGGAGCUCACACUUCUUUGGGAUUCUCUCUGUAGCCCAUCAGGUUGUAGCAUUCUUGGCUCAUUCUUUAUGUGCAAUCGAUUACUGAGUUUCAUUGCUGUCCUCCAGACACAUAUUGAGCUCUUGCCUCUCAUUUUCUGGUGGGCUUAUACAUAUUUUAAUGUUUUUCCUUACUGGGAUAUUUUAAGGGAGAGGAGAUGAACAUGAAUGGCCAAGCCACUGUUUUCCCCCCAAAAACCUUGCAUAAUUUGCAUCUUUGUAUACAACAGAGUGCACAAAAGGUUCAUUUUAAUGAGCUUAAAUAACAUUUUCAUAGCCUUGUUAUUUUUAAGAAAAUCUGUUUCCUCCAUAGAUAAACUUGAGUGUUCAUCCUAAUUAUCAUAUAUUUUUAAUCUGUUGGAGAUGAAUUAGUAAGGUUUCCCUGGCAAUGGUAAGCUAGUGAAAAAAAAGGGAAUUUAACUAUUUUUGGAUAGCCUUGAGGAAAGGAGUUGAGGAGAGUGUUCACGAAGCAUGGUUCCAUGAUUCAUCAAUACACAAUAAGAUGAGUUCAUUUUAGUUCAUUCCUGUACCUCUAAGCACCAUUCCAGGAAAAAUCUCAGUUUCCCCUCUUUGAAGAGCAUUUCAAAAGGUUGAACUUGACCAUCUGGGUGCUGAGAGACUUUUGCUAAUGUUGACUCUCAAUAUUUAGGUCUUGAUCUUUGGCUCUCAGUACAUUAAUUGAACUCCAUUUGGUUUGCAAAAAGCUGCCCCAGGAUUUUUCAGCUGAGAUAAUGAGCCUCUGAAAACAACCCCCGCGCUAGAAUGCAGGCAUCCUCUAUUCAAGUGGACAUCACCUGCUGUGGGGAUGGGAGAAGGGGGAGAGAGGAGGAUUCGCAGAGCAGCCCUACCCUUCUUCCUCAACACAUGCAUGGACUUUUACUCUCCUCAGUGGAGGAUGGUUUCAUGGCACGGAGAGCUGCAGAUACAUUUAGACAACACCUACUUGGACAUCCAGGUCCCGUGUCUGUUGACAGGUACUUUCUUUGUUCCAAAACAAAACUAGAACAGGAAUUUUCACAUUGGUGGUCCAUUCGACCUGGUUGAGAUGUCUUUCUUUUUCUUAUAUUUCAAUGUUUUAGCAAAUAGUUCUGACCAUCCAGGGUUUUUGCUAGGUCCUGAUCUGCAGCGGUUGCAGGGUUCUUGUCUUGGCACAGCUUCUGGUCAGGUAGGGAAUGUGUACAAGUAACUGGGCAUUCCAAAACAGAACUCUAAAAGGUGAUGCAGGUGAGGGGCACCUGGGUGGCUCAGUCGGUUGGGAGUCUGACUUCGGCUCAGGUCAUGAUCUCACCGCUCAUGGGUUUGAGCCCUGCGUUGGGCUCUGUGUCUCCCUCUCUGUCUGCUCCUCCCCUGCUCACACUCUGUCUCUCUCUCUCUCUCAAGGAUAAAUAAACAUUAAAAAAAUUUUUUUUUAAAGAUGAUGCAGGUGGAAAGGAUGCUCCAGUAGCUCCUUUGCAGGAAUACUACCUAAUCCAAAGUUCUGAUUUUUGGAAGGGGGUGGAUGGUGACAACGGGGAAUGAUUGUCAGAAGAAGUGAUGUGUGUGCUGAGACGCGAAUAAUAGACUAGAAGUUAGCCAGGUCAAAGUUUGGGGAAGGGAGACAAGUCGGGUAUUCUUGGCAAAAGAGACAGUAUGAGUCUAGGCACUGAGGCAAGAAAAAACAUAGUUCUGUUAAAGAAUCGGAAGAAGUUCAGUCUCUUUGGAGUACUGUCUAAGAAGAAUGUGUCAAGAGUCUACAGAGGUGGUCACAUUCAGAGCUAAGCCCCUUUAUGUUUAGGACUUUAUUCUAGGUGGGGUCUAUAGCAGGGGAUUGACAUCACAAAGACCCCUCUGGCUUCAUAGUCAAGCAUGGUCUGGCUGGGGGAGCAGUCAGAGCGUUACUGCAGAAAUUGAGGUGAGAAAUCAUCUUGGCCUCUGCUAGAGUAGGACAGAAGCCCUGAAGAGAAGUUGGAUGAAUUGGAGAGACGUAAGGGCCAGAAUCUGCAGGAGUUCCUGAGAAAAUGGGCUUGAAGGCCUGAGCUAAAAGACGGAGUCCAGAACUAGUUUUGCUCUGUCGUCCUUGGACGUGGAGCCACCGUCAGUCAUACAUCUGGCCCCUAUCGCUAGGUGGUUACACUGGCCCUCGGUGAAUGGAACCGAGGAAAGUCAUGCUUCGCUGAAGGGUGGGAUUAAGCACAAGCAUAGGACACGUUUAGGCCUUUGACAAUACGGGCUUGAUUGACAGUCAGAGUGACUGUCUUUUGACAGUCUGAUGUCCUUUACCUGGACUUGCAGGCAUGGUGACAAACAGCAGCACGUCUUGCAUUUCUUUUGCAUUUGCCCUAAUUCUUGGAACAGCAUGGAGAAAUCGCUCACUGCGUCCAGGAUGGCAAUUGCACAGAUGCUGGUCACAGCUGCCCGUGUCACUCUUGAAGCCUUAACUGAAGAAUGUUUAAUGAAGGGACCAUUUACAGAAGAGCAGGCUGUGUUAGAAGAACCAGCAAUGGAUGAGAAGCACCCAGGUCUUAGCAACUGGGAAGCUGCUUCCAUCCCAGGGACCGAGGAGAAGAGAAAGUUUCUGUGAGCUGGUCUCCUGUUCUUGCUUCUGAGUGGUUGCUGACAACUGGAAGGCAGAGUCUAGGGAGCCUGAGUGAUGUGCUUAGUACAUCGAGUUUUACUCUUGGAGCACAGAGCAAGGCAGAGAAGGGCAGAGAAUGAAUCUGGAGAAAGCAGAGACAGAAAAAAUAAAAUCGCAAAAAGUGU